rnacentral:rRNA from 1 species
GUCGUAACAAGGUUUCCGUAGGUGAACCUGCGGAAGGAUCAUUACAGAGUUCAUGCCCUCACGGGUAGAUCUCCCACCCUUGAAUACUAUACCUUAGUUGCUUUGGUAGGCCGUGGAAACACCACGGGCUCCGGCCUGUGUGUGCCUGCCAGAGGAAACAAACUCUGUUUUUAGUGAUGUCUGAGUACUAUAUAAUAGUUAAAACUUUCAACAACGGAUCUCUUGGUUCUGGCAUCGAUGAAGAACGCAGCGAAAUGCGAUAAGUAAUGUGAAUUGCAGAAUUCAGUGAAUCAUCGAAUCUUUGAACGCACAUUGCGCCCUGUGGUAUUCCGCAGGGCAUGCCUGUUCGAGCGUCAUUUCAACCAAUCAAGCCUAGGCUUGGUCUUGGGGUAUGCGGGUUUCCGUAGCCUCUAAAAUCAGUGGCGGUGCUAGUUAGCUCUGAGCGUAGUAAUACUCCUCGCUAUAGAGUCUAGGUAGUGUCUUGCCAACAACCCCCCAUUUUUUCAGGUUGACCUCGGAUCAGGUAGGGAUACCCGCUGAACUUAAGCAUAUCAAUAAGCGGAGGAAAAGAAACCAACAGGGAUUACCUCAGUAACGGCGAGUGAAGCGGGAAAAGCUCAAAUUUAAAAUCUGGCAUGCCUUUGGCUGUCCGAGUUGUAGUCUGGAGAAGUGUUUUCCGUGCUGGACCGUGUACAAGUCCCUUGGAAUAGGGCGUCAUAGAGGGUGAGAAUCCCGUCUUUGACAUGGACUACCAGUACUUUGUGAUGCGCUCUCAAAGAGUCGAGUUGUUUGGGAAUGCAGCUCAAAAUGGGUGGUAAAUUCCAUCUAAAGCUAAAUAUAGGCGAGAGACCGAUAGCGAACAAGUACCGUGAGGGAAAGAUGAAAAGCACUUUGGAAAGAGAGUUAAACAGUACGUGAAAUUGCUGAAAGGGAAACGCUUGAAGUCAGUCGUGUCUGCCAGGACUCAGCCUUGCUUUUGCUCGGUGCACUUUCUGGUUUGACAGGCCAGCAUCGAUUUUGACUGUUGGAAAAAGAUUAAGGGAAUGUGGCACCUUCGGGUGUGUUAUAGCCCUUUAUUGCAUACAACAAUUGGAAUCGAGGAUCGCAGCACGCCUUUAUGGCCGGGGCUUUGCCCACGUACGUGCUUAGGAUGCUGGCAUAAUGGCUUUAAGCGACC